rnacentral:rRNA from 1 species
GACGAACGCUGGCGGCGUGCCUAAUACAUGCAAGUCGAACGCACUCUCGUUUAGAUUGAAGGAGUUUGCUCCUGAUUGAUAAACAUUUGAGUGAGUGGCGGACGGGUGAGUAACACGUGGGUAACCUGCCCUAAAGUGGGGGAUAACAUUUGGAAACAGAUGCUAAUACCGCAUAAAACCUAACACCGCAUGGUGUAGGGUUGAAAGAUGGUUUCGGCUAUCACUUUAGGAUGGACCCGCGGUGCAUUAGUUAGUUGGUGAGGUAAAGGCUCACCAAGACCGUGAUGCAUAGCCGACCUGAGAGGGUAAUCGGCCACACUGGGACUGAGGCACGGCCCAGACUCCUACGGGAGGCAGCAGUAGGGAAUCUUCCACAAUGGACGAAAGUCUGAUGGAGCAACGCCGCGUGAGUGAAGAAGGUUUUCGGAUCGUAAAACCCUGUUGUUGGAGAAGAAUGUAUCUGAUAGUAACUGAUCAGGUAGUGACGGUAUCCAACCAGAAAGCCACGGCUAACUACGUG